CUAGCGAGCCCAACCUCCCACCCGUGUCUACUGUAACCUUAGUUGCUUCGGCGGGCCCGCCUUUAAGGCCGCCGGGGGGCAUCAGCCCCCGGGCCCGCGCCCGCCGGAGACACCACGAACUCUGUCUGAUCUAGUGAAGUCUGAGUUGAUUGUAUCGCAAUCAGUUAAAACUUUCAACAGUGGAUCUCUUGGUUCCGGCAUCGAUGAAGAACGCAGCGAAAUGCGAUAACUAGUGUGAAUUGCAGAAUUCCGUGAAUCAUCGAGUCUUUGAACGCACAUUGCGCCCCCUGGUAUUCCGGGGGGCAUGCCUGUCCGAGCGUCAUUGCUGCCCAUCAAGCACGGCUUGUGUGUUGGGUCGUCGUCCCCUCUUCGGGGGGGACGGGCCCCAAAGGCGGCGGCGGCACCGCGUCCGAUCCUCGAGCGUAUGGAACUUUGUCACCCGCUCUGUAGGCCCGGCCGGCGCUUGCCGAACGCAAAAUAACCAUUCUUUCCAGGUUGACCUCGGAUCAGGUAGGGAUACCCGCUGAACUUAAGCAUAUCNNAACCCGGGAGAGAGAGAUCAUUACCGAGUGUAGGGGUUCCUAGCGAGCCCAACCUCCCACCCGUGUUUUACUGUAACCUUAGUUCCGGCGGCGGGCCCGCCUUUAAGGCCGCGCGGGGGGGAUAUCACCCCCGGGCGCCGCCGGAAAACACACGAAAUUUGUUCUGAGUCUAUGGAAGUCUGGAGGUUGAAUUGUUUUCGCAUUCAGUUUAAAACUUUCUAACAAUGGAAUCCUCUUGUGUUCCCGGCAUCGAAUGAAAAGCACGGCAGCCGAAAGUGCCGAAUCAACUAGGGGGUGAAUGUGAAAAAUUCUGUUGAAUCCAUCGAGUCCUUGAACCUACAUUGGCCCCUGGGGUUUUCCGGGGGGGANGGCUGUU
rnacentral:rRNA from 1 species